GCGUUCUUGAAUCUAGAAGUAUGCAAAACUACGCAGCGGUAUUUCAUGUAUAAACAUAAUACGUAAUCAACAUAACACAACCCAUUUCAAAGGCGACGUUGCCUUUGAAGGUCAUUUAACGCUAGUUACGCUUCCUUUUAAAACUGUUGACAUAUAUGCUAUAACUUUCUUAUAAAUCCAACCGGACAUCUAUUACGUGAUCGCUUUAAAGUUAUCAUGGAAACCAUAGUGACUGCAAAUAUAUCAACAGAACAUCCAUUACAAAAUAGCUGUCACAUUUGCCAUGAAAACCACUGCAAUAGACAAUAAACCAACCGGACAAAUAUCACAAGGUCGCAUCAAGGUUGGAACCACAGUGACCCCUGUUAUGAAUGUUGUAUGGGAAAGGAGCAUCACUUAAUACAACAUGCACCAAUACAUAUCUGUCUAUGAAACAAUGAUCAAAGGUCACGGUCACCAUUCAAGAAUCGUUGGUGCUCCGUGUGUCAUGGGGUAUCUCAGGAAUUACCAGGCGUACUUAAGUCGAAAGAUAGAAGAAGGGUUGACUCAAACAGUUGUAGAGAACUGAAGAGAAAACAUCACAAGAUGAUCAUGUUGUAUUUGCCGACAAGUUUAAAACAUCAGUUCCUCUGGCGUUUGGAAAAAAUCUAUACUUUCGUGUCACGCAUUAAACACCGGAAGGACAUAUUGGUCAAUCGCAAAAUCAGUCCACGAAAAGAGAUGGCAAAGUUAGGAUGCUCAGCAGAGGGGAACACAUGGCAUGAAAUAUUGCGGACCGGAAGCUUAUGUCCACUGCAUGGGAAUAAUCAAAACAUGUGUGCAACGCGAUGACAUGUUUCAAUCCUAUAACAAAUAGCCGACAGAACAAGGUUUUGGCGGAAGAAGUAAAUACAAAAGGAAAGUGGGAAAAAACAUGCAUCAAAGUUAUUUUAUAAUUAAAAACGAACAUGGGUGUUGUAGACAGUGAACAUUUACAGUGUACCAACACAAAGUGCUUAUUUGUGGACCUAAUGUGUGUGGUUUGCCGUGGACAUCUCGCUUGUGAUUCAUUAUGUAUAAAGCUUCAACCCUCCGGCUACCUAUAAGCUGUUUGAGAGAAUGGUUGCAGAACAACUUAUCGGCGGGAAUAGCACACGUAUAAGGAAAUCCAAACAAACAAGCGACAUAUUUUAACUUGACCUCUUUGGCAAUGUGCAGUGCAGAGUCAGCUUGCAUGAACCGAUGAUAUUGCAUUGCACCAGACACUCUACUAGACUCUGUUGCCGUUUCGUUAAUCGCAUGCUGUGAUUAUACUGGUGUUGUUUCCCGUGACAAAUCUUGCGAUAUUUUUAGCAAUAUAAUAGUUACAGCCAAAUUCUUUGAUUUAUGUUUUGGUCUAUGUUUUUCUAUUAUAUAAUUAUGUACAUGUGUUCUUUGUUGAUUGGAGAAAAAGUAUUAUCAUUAUUGAUUUUCGUCGUGUUUAAUUUUAUCCCUAUGUAUUCCUCAAGUUCAUAUGAUGUAUAUAAUUGAUCUAUACAUUUUAUAACCUUGAUGUAUGAAUGAAUUGUGAAUCCGUAUUUGGAUUUUAGUCCUAUAAGUAUACAUUUAUAUAGGAAAUGAAUGAACAUGUGAGUAAAAUAUCAUGAUAGAGAAUUGUUAUUUUAAUUCCUUUCUGAUUUAUUUGAUGAAAAACAUAUUGUUUUGUAAUCGCUCUAUGCAUGUAUAAAUACUAAAAUAAACAAAAAUAUGUAUAAUAUAAUGAAUACUACAGGGACAAGCCCAUUAGUUGAACAGUGAAAAAUAGGCCCUGUUAAGGUGUACACGUCAAGGACCCAAACAACAAUGAACUAGAGACAAAAACAUUGUUACACCACUUCUUAAAUCAUAAUUUUCACCUUUUGUUUUAUUACUGAAUUUUACAUAGAAUGACACGUGCCUGGAAAACUGUGAUAAUGUGAUGUGUGCAUUAAAAUUAAGCACGGCUAAAAUAGCGUAUUUAUACAUACAUGGUUUAGCCACACAUGGCAUUCCAGAGAGUGUUUAUGUGGAUUUUUUCAAUUUACUCCGAUUCAAGCACACACAUGCAUAAUAUGAUUGAAAUAAUAAAAACAUUUCGCAACGUUGCCUUACAAACAUCUUUUUAAGCAUUAUACUUUUGAAAUAUUUUGGAAAACCUUUUUCUACUACUGUAGUACAAAAUUGCUGUUUGAGAAAUAUCAAAUAAUAGCCGUAGUGUAUUUAUGAGGAAAACAACAGACAUAAAUAUCGAGUUACUACAAAAGUUAAAACUGCCAUAGUGUAUCUAUGCAUGCACACGUGGUAUAAUUCCAAGAUUGAUCAUAACAUUAAACGUCUCCGGCAAUUUUGAAAUACAUAUACCUGAAAUGUUUGUACUAGAACUACCAGAG